CACACACACACACACACACACACAAUCAAUCAACACUUCUUCCGGUCGUGAGGUGGUGCAACGCGCCGAAUGCACGAAGAUCUCGCUCUAUGAGGUCAGUAAUUCCUCAAUUCUCUGGGAUGUCGAACGGCUGCUUGCUGGUUCUUUUUUUCUUGUUGUUUAUCUAUCCGAUUAGCAAGCUGAUAAAUUUCGUAACAUCGAGACCGGCUCGUAAGGUCAGAAGGACAUUUAUCAAAUAUAUUCUGGAGGAAUAGUAAUAACAUGGAUAAUUCGUGAGUUAUGCCAGUGAGAUACGCGAUGGCACGUGCGGAUUAUCAAGUUAAACGAUUUCGUCAUAAUUUCACAUAUUGUGUAUUCAACAGUAUGGAGAUAGCGGUUUCAUCAAAAUCGGAAGGCCGGAUCUUUUAUACGGUGAAAAUGAGGUAACUAUCCGUACGAUGAUUAAUGCCUGGCACACAGUUGGCUGACUGAAAAUAAACGACGGUAAAAUUAACUGCGGCUGUAAAAUUGUCAUUAUAUAUUGAACGGAAAUAAAAUCACAGCGUGUAUAUC